AGCGAACGCUGGCGGCAGGCCUAACACAUGCAAGUCGAACGGAGUCUUCGGACUUAGUGGCGGACGGGUGAGUAACACGUGGGAACGUACCUUUUGGUUCGGAACAACUCAGGGAAACUUGAGCUAAUACCGGAUGAGCCCUUAGGGGGAAAGAUUUAUCGCCGAAAGAGCGGCCCGCGUUAGAUUAGCUAGUUGGUGAGGUAAAGGCUCACCAAGGCUACGAUCUAUAGCUGGUCUGAGAGGAUGAUCAGCCACACUGGGACUGAGACACGGCCCAGACUCCUACGGGAGGCAGCAGUGGGGAAUCUUGCGCAAUGGGCGAAAGCCUGACGCAGCCAUGCCGCGUGAAUGAUGAAGGUCUUAGGAUUGUAAAAUUCUUUUACCAGGGACGAUAAUGACGGUACCUGGAGAAAAAGCCCCGGCUAACUUCAUGCCAGCCGCCGCGGUAAGAC
rnacentral:rRNA from 1 species